rnacentral:rRNA from 1 species
UACGUAGGGGGCUAGCGUUGUCCGGAAUCAUUGGGCGUAAAGCGCGUGUAGGCGGUCCGGUAAGUCCGCUGUGAAAGUCGGGGGCUCAACCCUCGAAUGCCGGUGGAUACUGUCGGGCUAGAGUGCGGAAGAGGAGAGUGGAAUUCCUGGUGUAGCGGUGAAAUGCGCAGAUAUCAGGAGGAACACCAAUUGCGAAGGCAGCUCGCUGGGACGUUACUGACGCUGAGACGCGAAAGCGUGGGGAGCAAACAGG